rnacentral:lncRNA from 1 species
AAGAUAAAACUAUCUUUCAAUCCAAGAUCUUGAAACUUUACAUGAGGAAGCAUCUUAUCUUAGCCGUUGAGCGAUGUUGGUCAACGGGAAAAUAAGAGACCACACAUUCAAAGCCCAGAGCUCGGUCAAGAUCAAACGCUCGCGUUGCUCCCUCUCGCUAUGGCGAGCCCAGUCCAUUCCACAGCACUGGUCACAAGAAAGCUAGCUUUUACACUCUCCUUUCCUUCGUCUAGUUCUUCCUUCCUAGCGGGACGCGGAGUCUGGACGCAACCUGGCUUCUCCCAUCAAAACCACGAAAAAGAACAAAGAAAUUCACUCACCAGUCGAUCCAGCUCUAGGUUUUAGCUUGAUUGGUUUCGUUGCCUCUCGUCCAGGAUGAUCCCCAGCUCCAAUUCCCAGCUGCUACUGCUGCUGGCGCUGCUAACUCUCUCCUCGGCCGCGACCCAAGGAAGUGUCCCUGGAAUCUAUCUCGUCACUGAUGAACAAAACAGCACCAAAAACGCGUCAGGCAUGGCGAUGAUCCAGCCAGACUACCUGAGAGGAGGAAUGGCAGACAGCGCUUGCGGCGACGUCCAAACUCCUUCACGACGCGUCUUGCUCGAGGAAUCCAGGAAGACCUCGCUCAAGAUGGAGCUCAAGCACAGGGAUCACAGGCAGCCCACCAGCAACAGGAGGUCGCUGCUGCUGGAAUCGCUCAAGCGAGACAUCACUCGCCUCCAAUC